AGGAAUCUGUUUCCAUCUUUGUUUUUGUGAUUGGUGAUCUGAUGUCACCGUCAUUAUAAAAACUGUUCCUGUUCGGUUUAACCAGACCCCGAUCGCCGUGCCGUCUCCAGUUUCUGUGUUACAUUAAUGACACACACACUUGUUUACUCGAGAGUGAAAUAGGAGACCUCACAGAGGGCUGGAGCAGAAACGUCUGCUUCUGUUCCUAGAGCCAGCAGGCUUAUGGAAACAUGGCCUGUUGCUGGAUAGAUGUCCUUUUUUGGACCGAUCUGACGAUCCUGCCUCUUCUGGAACUGCUUGUCGACUUCCUCACGGUCGUUCCUCCGUCUGGGCUUCAGUCGACGAAACAAUUCAACAAGAGACUAAUUAGAAGAACAGCAGCAGCUUGAGGAGGACCUCGGAGCUACACUCAUCCCAGAUGGAGCUGGUGUGAUCCAGCGCCUGCCAGUGAUGAAUGGUUUUAAGGUAGAUGACUCAUCCUCUCCUCAGACCCCUCCCAGGAGAAUAACGGGAGUGGUGAAGUGUUCUGCAUCAACAAGCAGCUCUCUGCCACCUAGUGGACACCUGAUCAGACACGCCAAGGACAAAAUCCUCCUCCGAAAUCCCCGGAUCUCAUUUUCAUGAUGCAAAUGUGACUCACAGGGGUGAGAGGCAGCGGUCGCAUGAGCGUACGUGUUAUGUUAAAGGGUCUGAAAAUAAAAGGUCUGUUUUUUGUGCUCAGCUGAUUCUCCACCUGAUCUGAUUAGCCAGGACCCAGAGUCCUCCUGAAUGAGUGCAGAAGGACCCUUAAAGACAAACGCAGGGCAACAAGACUGAAAGAACUCAAAGCAUAUAUAUAGAUAUAGAUAUGUAGACUCCUCUUGUAGAUGCUGAAACUGUUGUUUAUAAUGAUUUCACAGAGAUAACGUGUUCGUCUACAAACCCAUUCACUCAACAGAAGUAAGGGAAUGAAUGGUUUCUAACUGGAGACUCUGCUGGUGUUUUAUUGGUGCAUGAUGGACUUUAAUCUCAAGUUAAAUCUCAUCUAGUCACUGACCUGAAGCAAAAUGAAAUAUCAAACCAACCCAACAGGCAAGACUGAGUGUUGCUGCUGCUUAUUUUCCUAAUUUUAAUCAACUUUUAUUUGUUUCAUUUUAGUCAAAAGUGACAGAGGGGAGAAAAGUGAAUGUGUAUGAAACAAAGCUGAGAUUUCUACGGCUUUUCUGAGUGUAAUUCAUAAGAAUCUCCAGUCUCUUGUAUGUAACACGGAUUUGUUUUGAAAACAGAGACCUAAUAAACUCACCAUGAAAUAAA